UAAGGCCCUAGUAUAAACAACUACAUGACCCCGUCAGCAUCAUAAUAUAGGAACAAGCCUAUGAGCCUUAG
rnacentral:tRNA from 1 species